GUCACCAUGGCGGAAGCGCAGCCAAGAGGCUGCAGCAGACUGUUCAGCCCCACUACAAGCCUGAAUAAAAGAAGAAAUUAGAAAAGGACGACACGGCUUCUGUUAGUUCGCCAUGCACAAGUAUUAUAAACAUCUAGCGACUUCAGAUGCGAGAGUAAUGCUGCUGAUGUAGGCGGUGACUGGCUUUCUAGGGCAGAGCGGCUGAAGUCCAGCUCAAGUGUUGACAGACUGAGAGAGUUCAUUCAGUGAUUGCAUGAUUUAUAGACACAGCUUAGUGACUCCAGACGGAAAGGCGCAAACAGUGUAUACUUUGCGUAUCUUUUGCUAUUACAGACUGGUGGUAUCGAAGUUCUUUUUUUAACAAAUGUAAAAUCGCUUUAUAAACGUGAAAUGUGACGUUUUGAACGGGAAAAGUAAUGUUUGUAGAGUAAAAGUCGUCUCUGGUUCUUGUUUACGAUGCAAUUCAAGAGGACCUGACACAGCUCGGGCUGAGUAUUCGUUUGGAAAACACUUUAGUAAAACAUUGCCCGUUUCGUUAGGCUCUGAAAUGUCUUCUAAAUGGGUGUUUUAUACAGCAUCAGCGCGAUAUAGUGGACAAACUGGCCGGUUAAAGUACUGACGUGUCCUUUGGCGCGCGGUCAGUGCCGAAGCUGGAGGGACACGCCUUUCGCCGUUGCUCCCAGCAUCUUUAACCGGGAGUCAGCCGUCAACGCCGCGACAAAAUGUCAAGAGCCGGCCGAAGAGCCAAAGCUUUGCACGUGAAUAACGGGCACGCGCUGGCAGGAUGCGGUCCGCUGAGAGCGGCGUUUGCGCGCGUGCUGCUGCUGUGUCUCUGCGGCGCGCUGUCGCUGGCUUUGAUCCUGGCGCUGUAUCUGUCUGCAGAGCCCUCCAGCAGCCUACAGCAGCAUGCUGCACAUCUCAUCAGGGACAGGAAUGCCCAUAAGCCAAAUAAAUACUCUGUGGCACAAAUAAAGAAGUUUGCAGCACAGGUGGACGGGCAUCGGCUCUGGGAGACUCACCUGCGGCCCCUGCUAAAUGUACGAGUGCCCGGGACUGCAGGCAGUCAGACCAUACGGCAGCAUAUCUUGUCCCAGCUGGGUUCACUGUCAGCAGGAUGGACACUGGAGGAGAAUUCUUUCGUUUCAUCCACCCCGAAGGGUAAAGUGACCUUCACCAAUGUGCUAGCAGUUCUGGACCCCUCGACUCCUCGCAGGCUGCUCCUAGCAUGCCACCAUGACUCCAAGAUCUUACCCGCAGACCCUAAAAACCCCAAGCGGGUGUUUGUGGGUGCCAGUGAUUCAGCCAUACCCUGUGCUAUGAUCUUGGAGCUGGCCACUGCUCUGGACACACGGCUUAAAGCUCUAAAACUGCAGAGGUCUGCGGUGACAUUGCAGUUGGUGUUUUUUGAUGGAGAGGAGGCAUUUGAGGAAUGGACAGAAACAGACUCUCUCUACGGUUCUCGUCAUCUGGCUGAACUUAUGGCCCGUACUCCCCACCCUUCUGGAUCCACCAAAACCACUCUUCUCCAGGCAGUGGAUCUGUUAGUCCUGCUGGACCUGCUUGGUGGCCCAGAACCAUUGAUUGUCAAUCACUUUGAUAACACAGCCAGAUGGUUUGACCGACUGAUCGCUGCAGAGAAGAGACUCCACAAACAGGGUUUGUUGACAUCUCACCCAUCAGAACAGAGUUACUUCAGGAAAGAUUUUUAUCUUGGUCCCGUGCAGGAUGAUCACAUUCCAUUUUUAAACAGAGGUGUACCUGUGCUUCACUUGAUCCCCACACCGUUUCCUGUGUUCUGGCACACACUGGAUGAUGCAGAGGAGAGGAUGCACAGGCCCACGGUGGAAAACCUAACUAGAAUCCUGGCCAUCUUCGUGGCUGAGUAUCUGAGCCUAUAAACAUGCUAUAAUGAUCAUCCUACAGCAGACUGUAAUAGUAGUAAUAAUAAUAACAGAGCCAUAGAUCAGAAUGACCAAAGAGACACAUAGCAUAAUGAUGUGUUUAUUUGGAGUGUGAAUGGUACAUGCUGAAGAUAUCCAUAUAUUUUUCUGCUGAAAAGAGCCAUAUGUCAUAAUAGGACAAACACUCAUGUUACGGCAGCUAUAUAUGAGCCCUAAUUUCAUCCUUUAAGAGACUGUUAGACCAUAAGUUUGUGAUUUCAUAUCAUUCAUUUGAUAUGGCUUUGAAGUGGAACUCAGAGUGAAGUUCGUUUAAUGACUUUUCAUUUAGCUCAUUAAUCAUCAUUUGUACAGUAUUUGCUGAUGAACUGCAUUUGAAAUGCUGUUCAUUCAAGCUGUGUUGGGGAAAGGCAGUGGUGGUGCACUUUACAAGUCACUGAGCUGUUACCAUUAUGAGCCAAAAGACCAUGUCAAGGGUCUAAUGGAUAUUCGUAAUAAACUUAAGGAGAUACUGGAUUUCAGUUUUUUUUUUUUUCUAUUUUUGUUGAAAUUUAGAAUACACUAAGAUUGACACUGUUGCAUUAAAGCCAAUUAAAAUCUGCUGCUGUAUUGAUAUGCUAUCUUUUGGGUCACAAAAAGAGCUUUUUUUUAAAGCCAAGAUGAAACUAAAGUAGCGGCACAUCUUUUUGCUGCAUUGUGAUGCAUAUCUGAGUGAAACGGAUUACUGAAAAAGAGGACAAAAUGAUUGGAAGAGUUCGGCAUACAUCACCAGAAG